GGGUUGUGAGGUUAAGCGACUAAGCGUACACGGUGGAUGCCCUGGCAGUCAGAGGCGAUGAAGGACGUGCUAAUCUGCGAAAAGCGUCGGUAAGGUGAUAUGAACCGUUAUAACCGGCGAUGUCCGAAUGGGGAAACCCAGUGCAAUUCGUUGCACUAUCGUUAACUGAAUACAUAGGUUAACGAGGCGAACCGGGGGAACUGAAACAUCUAAGUACCCCGAGGAAAAGAAAUCAACCGAGAUUCCCCCAGUAGCGGCGAGCGAACGGGGAGCAGCCCAGAGUCUGAAUCAGCUUGUGUGUUAGUGGAACGGUCUGGAAAGUCCGACGGUACAGGGUGAUAGUCCCGUACACCAAAAUGCACAGGCUGUGAACUCGAAGAGUAGGGCGGGACACGUGGUAUCCUGUCUGAAUAUGGGGGGACCAUCCUCCAAGGCUAAAUACUCCUGACUGACCGAUAGUGAACCAGUACCGUGAGGAAAGGCGAAAAGAACCCCGGCGAGGGGAGUGAAAAAGAACCUGAAACCGUGUACGUACAAGCAGUGGGAGCACCUUCGGGUGUGACUGCGUACCUUUUGUAUAAUGGGUCAGCGACUUAUAUUCUGUAGCAAGGUUAACCGUAUAGGGGAGCCGCAGGGAAACCGAGUCUUAACUGGGCGUUAAGUUGCAGGGUAUAGACCCGAAACCCGGUGAUCUAGCCAUGGGCAGGUUGAAGGUUGGGUAACACUAACUGGAGGACCGAACCGACUAAUGUUGAAAAAUUAGCGGAUGACUUGUGGCUGGGGUGAAAGGCCAAUCAAACCGGGAGAUAGCUGGUUCUCCCGAAAGCUAUUUAGGUAGCGCCUCGUGAAUUCAUCUUCGGGGGUAGAGCACUGUUUCGGCUAGGGGGUCAUCCCGACUUACCAACCCGAUGCAAACUACGAAUACCGAAGAAUGUUAUCACGGGAGACACACGGCGGGUGCUAACGUCCGUCGUGAAGAGGGAAACAACCCAGACCGCCAGCUAAGGUCCCAAAGUCAUGGUUAAGUGGGAAACGAUGUGGGAAGGCACAGACAGCCAGGAUGUUGGCUUAGAAGCAGCCAUCAUUUAAAGAAAGCGUAAUAGCUCACUGGUCGAGUCGGCCUGCGCGGAAGAUGUAACGGGCUAAACCAUGCACCGAAGCUGCGGCAGCGACACUAUGUGUUGUUGGGUAGGGGAGCGUUCUGUAAGCCUGCGAAGGUGACCUGUGAGGGUUGCUGGAGGUAUCAGAAGUGCGAAUGCUGACAUAAGUAACGAUAAAGCGGGUGAAAAGCCCGCUCGCCGGAAGACCAAGGGUUCCUGUCCAACGUUAAUCGGGGCAGGGUGAGUCGACCCCUAAGGCGAGGCCGAAAGGCGUAGUCGAUGGGAAACAGGUUAAUAUUCCUGUACUUGGUGUUACUGCGAAGGGGGGACGGAGAAGGCUAUGUUAGCCGGGCGACGGUUGUCCCGGUUUAAGCAUGUAGGCUGAUUGUCCAGGCAAAUCCGGAUAAUCAAGGCUGAGGUGUGAUGACGAGGCACUACGGUGCUGAAGUAACAAAUGCCCUGCUUCCAGGAAAAGCCUCUAAGCAUCAGGUAACAUCAAAUCGUACCCCAAACCGACACAGGUGGUCAGGUAGAGAAUACCAAGGCGCUUGAGAGAACUCGGGUGAAGGAACUAGGCAAAAUGGUGCCGUAACUUCGGGAGAAGGCACGCUGGUGUGUAGGUGAAGUCCCUGCGGAUGGAGCUGAGACCAGUCGAAGAUACCAGCUGGCUGCAACUGUUUAUUAAAAACACAGCACUGUGCAAACACGAAAGUGGACGUAUACGGUGUGACGCCUGCCCGGUGCCGGAAGGUUAAUUGAUGGGGUUAUCCGUAAGGAGAAGCUCUUGAUCGAAGCCCCGGUAAACGGCGGCCGUAACUAUAACGGUCCUAAGGUAGCGAAAUUCCUUGUCGGGUAAGUUCCGACCUGCACGAAUGGCGUAAUGAUGGCCAGGCUGUCUCCACCCGAGACUCAGUGAAAUUGAACUCGCUGUGAAGAUGCAGUGUACCCGCGGCAAGACGGAAAGACCCCGUGAACCUUUACUAUAGCUUGACACUGAACAUUGAGCCUUGAUGUGUAGGAUAGGUGGGAGGCUUUGAAGCGUGGACGCCAGUCUGCGUGGAGCCAACCUUGAAAUACCACCCUUUAAUGUUUGAUGUUCUAACGUUGGCCCCUUACCGGGGUUGCGGACAGUGUCUGGUGGGUAGUUUGACUGGGGCGGUCUCCUCCCAAAGCGUAACGGAGGAGCACGAAGGUUAGCUAAUCCUGGUCGGACAUCAGGAGGUUAGUGCAAUGGCAUAAGCUAGCUUGACUGCGAGCGUGACGGCGCGAGCAGGUGCGAAAGCAGGUCAUAGUGAUCCGGUGGUUCUGAAUGGAAGGGCCAUCGCUCAACGGAUAAAAGGUACUCCGGGGAUAACAGGCUGAUACCGCCCAAGAGUUCAUAUCGACGGCGGUGUUUGGCACCUCGAUGUCGGCUCAUCACAUCCUGGGGCUGAAGUAGGUCCCAAGGGUAUGGCUGUUCGCCAUUUAAAGUGGUACGCGAGCUGGGUUUAGAACGUCGUGAGACAGUUCGGUCCCUAUCUGCCGUGGGCGCUGGAGAAUUGAGGGGGGCUGCUCCUAGUACGAGAGGACCGGAGUGGACGCAUCACUGGUGUUCGGGUUGUCAUGCCAAUGGCACUGCCCGGUAGCUAAAUGCGGAAGAGAUAAGUGCUGAAAGCAUCUAAGCACGAAACUUGCCCCGAGAUGAGUUCUCCCUGAGACUUUAAGUCUCCUGAAGGAACGUUGAAGACGACGACGUUGAUAGGCCGGGUGUGUAAGCGCAGCGAUGCGUUGAGCUAACCGGUACUAAUGAACCGUGAGGCUUAACCUUACAACGCCGAAG
rnacentral:rRNA from 1 species